UAGAUCUGUUUCCUAGAGCCAUCAUGUACAAGACUGAAUUUGGUUUCCGUAUGAAAAUUCUUCAAGUAUUUGAGGACUGGCUGGCCAUCCUGCACACCCUGAAUCUUCACCCCUCUGGCUGCACAUCUGGAGUGACGGAGCCUAUCCCUCGCUGUGCUUCAGCUUGUUCCUUCCUUUCUUCAAUGGGACUCCAAGGAACGAAGGUCAUAUUGCAAGUGCACUUCUGUUUUUGUGGCACAUCCUCUGAUACAACCAUGUUCAGCAGUUGUCCUUUGCUGUUCAACAAACUCACACCAAAACUUAGUAGCUUAAACAACAACUACUUAACUUUCCAUGAUUUUGUUGGUCAGAAAUUUGGAUAGCAUUUUCAUGAGCAAUUCUUUUAUUCUGUGCGCUGUGGACAGGAGUCACUUGGCAACUUUCAGCUGGUGGAUGGAGUGAUCUGGAGGAUCUGCGAUUGUUUCACUCACAUGCCUGUUCGCAAGGCUGGCCGAAAGGCUGGGAUCAGCGGAGACUGUGAGGCAGAGAGCUCACCUACGGCGUCUCCAGCAUGGCAACCCCAGGGCAUCAGAACUUCUCACAUGGCACCUCAGGACUCCAGGAGUGACUGCUGCCACAAUCCAGGAGGCAGUGUAUGGCCUCUGUGACUUGGCCUCAGAAGUCACACCAUGUCACAUCCUUUCUAGUUUAUUGGCCGAGGCAGUCACAAGGCUGCCCAGAUUCAAGGAGAGGAGACAUAGACCUCUUACAUGGAAGAGGCAUCAAAGAAUUUGCAGCCAUUUUUAAAACAGCCAGUUUUCUUUGACUGCAUGCUUUUAUUUUCCCCUGUAAUCAUUCUCAAAAUGAGAUCUCUUUAUAGUAGGUGAUGUCAAAUGACAUGGGGAGUGUCUUUCUCAGGUCUCUUACUGGGAGGUACAGUACUGGUGUGGAUUCCUCCCCGCUGUGUGUAGAAGGCUCUCACCUGGGCUGCAUCAUUCUGGAUGCCACACUAUUACUGACCCAGUCUAAGACAUGAUUAAUCCCUUUGGAGACAAUGUCACAUUGCCAACCCACAUCAAGCUCCCUGUAUACUGCAGUCCCAGCUCUUCUUCUUGCUUGCUUGGAAGUACCUGCCCUACCUGCCAGCUGCUAGUGACCCCCGACUCAUAAACAGUCCGUGCCACAAUCUUCUCAUGUUCAACACCAAACUCAUUUGAUUUUGAGUUGGUACAUUUUUGUUCUUCCUAUUUAUGAGGUUCCUCAAAUCCAGGCCCAGGACAGGCAUCUCUGCUACUCCAUGACUGUCCAUGAGUCAUGGAGAGUGGCCCUGUGAUCUCAGAGGGGUUUUCAAAACCAGAGUGUGUUUGCCAACAAAAAUGAUCAAUAUGGAUUGGAGGAGUGGAGAAGGAGUUACAGAGUCCAGAAAGUGAGCCAGCUAAAUCUCCAUCUUUGAAAAUGGAGAGGUUGUAGAUAAUGUCUGAAGUUGACAGAGCAAGGAAAAACAUUCUAUAAACAUAUUACUGUAUUUGGAGUUAUGCGGAUAGCCACUGAAAAACUGAGAAAAGAAAUGCUUCAAGCUGGUUGCCUUUGGAAAGAGCUGGGAGGAAGAGUGGGCUGGGAGAGAGACCAGCUCUCCUUAUGCUCAGCCCUACAGUGCAAUGUAGUAUUUUACCUUGUGCAUGGAUUUUUGUAAUAAAAAAUAGUGAUGUGUAUUUGAAUAUUAAAACAUUAUACAACAA